rnacentral:rRNA from 1 species
UGGGGAAUAUUGGACAAUGGGCGAAAGCCUGAUCCAGCCAUGCCGCGUGUGUGAAGAAGGUCUUCGGAUUGUAAAGCACUUUAAGUCGGGAGGAAGGGCAGUAAGCGAAUACCUUGCUGUUUUGACGUUACCGACAGAAUAAGCACCGGCUAACUCUGUGCCAGCAGCCGCGGUAAUACAGAGGGUGCAAGCGUUAAUCGGAAUUACUGGGCGUAAAGCGCGCGUAGGUGGUUCGUUAAGUUGAAUGUGAAAGCCCCGGGCUCAACCUGGGAACUGCAUCCAAAACUGGCGAGCUAGAGUAGGGCAGAGGGUGGUGGAAUUUCCUGUGUAGCGGUGAAAUGCGUAGAUAUAGGAAGGAACACCAGUGGCGAAGGCGACCACCUGGGCUCAUAAUGACACUGAGGUGCGAAAGCGUGGGGAGCAAACAGG